rnacentral:rRNA from 1 species
AUUGAACGCUGGCGGCAUGCCUAACACAUGCAAGUCGAACGAGUGGCGGACGGGUGCGUAAUGUAUGGGAAACUGCCCGAUGGAGGGGGAUAACUACUAGCAACGGUAGCUAAUACCGCAUACUAUCGGAUGUGCCCAGAUGGGAUGAGCUAGUUGGUGGGGUAACGGCUCACCUAGGCGACGAUCCCUAGCUGGUCUGAGAGGAUGACCAGCCACACUGGGACUGAGACACGGUCCAGACGCCUACGGGAGGCAGCAGUGGGGAAUCUUGGACAAUGGGCGAAAGCCUGAUCCAGCCAGGCCGCGUGUGUGAAGAAGGGCUUCGGGUUGUAAAGUACUUUGGGCAGGGAAGCGGUACUCGAAGAAUAAGCACCGGCUAACUACGUGCCAGCAGCCGCGGUAAUUC